UUUCACAAUACAAAUCGCCUGUUUUUAACAGCCGUUUGUUCAUAUGGCAGUAGCUUUUAUAUGCUAGUAGAAAUAUUACCAGCAGAAACUCUUCUGCUAGUCUUUUGGAUUAAGUAACGCUUUUCCAGCAGAAACUUGGCUAGCUAGUAAUAAAUAGCAGUUAAGAAACUAACCUAAUAUUAGCUAAACCAACCCACUUUUUCUGGAUCAGAAGCGAUUUGGAGGAAAUUGAGUAAAUUAUGAUAGUAGAGAACUCGCUGAAAGUAAUGGUAACGGUAAAGUUGCAUUAAUCCGACUACUUUUGUAUUUGCCAAGAUUUGAGAAAAGGAACAAAAUUUUAGCGAAAUCGCACAAAGAUCACACUUACUUCUCAUUGAACGGUCAUCAACUUCAUAUUUUUUAAUAACCUAAAAAUUUCCGGUGAGCUACGCAGCACCAUAACAACCUGCACCCUUAAGUUAUAGCUCAAAUAGGCAAUCGCUACAAAUUAACAACUAUGUAUGCAGGUGAAAAUUGAGACGAACAAUUUCCAACAAGCAAAAGCUCAUGUAUACGUAGAAAUCAUUCCGCAUAUUUUAUAGUUUCCCGAAAGCUACGCAUCUGUCCUGCGCAAUAGCCGGCCGACGUCUUUUAUUAUUGUAUCUAUGUAUGUGUAUAUUAUAUGUAAUUAAAUACUUAUAUGUAGACACAUUCACGAGUACUCGUACUUUUAGAGUAUGAGAAUUUUCUCUUUCUUAAUAAUAUUAGAGACACCUGUUACGUGCAAAUAUUUGCUAUCAGAAACUUGUGAUUAUUAUAAAUAUAAUUUUCUUAAACAACA